AAAAUAACCAGCCUGCGCAGGUGUAACAGUGGAUGGUCUCUUACUCCGUAGGGGUUUCCCUGAUGCCCUUCCUUCCUCUGUGAUAUAAGAAACAACUGGGAAGGUAGGUGUGCCCUUUUCAACAAAGACGCUGGCAAUAAGAGAAAAUCAUUGAACAGAAACAACGCGUGCAAAACAGACAGGCAGAACCUCGUCCAGACCUUCGCCAAAAAUUCUUGCUGAAUCCAUUCAAUGCAAAGGAAGUCACAACAAUUGCAGGAAGACUUUGCCAAUGUGUGAAUCUCAUCAGUAGAGACCUGGGAAACAUCACCGGCAUGCGCUCCUCCUCAGAAACACCGCGCAUGUGCGUAUUUGAUCGAAUUCAAAUGACCUCUUGGCUGAUUGGGCAGAAGAUUCGUCAGUUAUGUUCCCUCUGACAGUCGAGAACAACUGUUCCAUUGACAAUGGGCUUGGUUGGACCACCCACAUCAGCACAGAGGAUGCGAUGUCACUCAACUUCUGCCUCCUUCACUGAGACAUUCUCCAUUGAAGCCUGAGUCACUGUGCAAAAGCUUGACUUCCCAGGGGUUACAAAGAUAUAAGGAAGACCUUGUCACAUGACGAAGACAGGACCAGGCACUGCAAUUGAUGGUCUUAGCUAUUCGUGGAGUUUGGAAUAUUCUAGCCCAGGAAUCAAGCAUAAUAUAUGUGUGUGCCUGAGUGUGUACCAUGUUCAUGAAGGAGCCUGAGGAGGUCUGAGGAAGCACUGGAUGCCCGAGAACUGAAGCUACAGAUGGCUGUGACCCACCAUGUCAGUGCUGGAGCCAAACGAACCCAGGUAGUCUACAGGAGCAGCAAGUGCUAUUUUCUAUAAAGACUUAAUACACAACAGGCCUAGGGGUGCAGCUCAGCAGUAAAGAACGGACCUC
rnacentral:lncRNA from 1 species